AUUGAACGCUGGCGGCAGGCCUAACACAUGCAAGUCGAACGAGUGGCGGACGGGUGAGUAAAAUCUGGGAAACUGCCCGAUGGAAGGGGAUAACUACUGGAAACGGUAGCUAAUACCGCAUAUCCUCGGAUGUGCCCAGAUGGGAUUAGCUUGUAGGUGAGGUAACGGCUCACCGAGGCGACGAUGCCUAGCUGGUGUGAGAGGAUGACCAGCGAAACUGGAACUGAGACACGGUCCAGACUCCUACGGGAGGCAGCAGUGGGGAAUAUUGCACAAUGGGCGCAAGCAUGAUGCAGCCAUGCCGCGUGUAUGAAGAAGGCCUUCGGGUUGUAAAGUACUUUCAGCGGGGAGGCGUUACCCGCAGAAGAAGCACCGGCUAACUCCGUGCCAGCAGCCGCGGUAAUUC
rnacentral:rRNA from 1 species